GACCGCUCCGGUGGACUAGUGGUGAGAGCAUCCACCUUAGAUGCGGGAGGUCGUGGGUUCUAUCCCCGGCCGAGUCA